rnacentral:rRNA from 1 species
AACGAACGCUGGCGGCAUGCCUAACACAUGCAAGUCGAACGAUGCUUUCGGGCAUAGUGGCGCACGGGUGCGUAACGCGUGGGAAUCUGCCCUUGGGUUCGGAAUAACAGUGAGAAAUUGCUGCUAAUACCGGAUGAUGUCUUCGGACCAAAGAUUUAUCGCCCAGGGAUGAGCCCGCGUAGGAUUAGCUAGUUGGUGGGGUAAUGGCCUACCAAGGCGACGAUCCUUAGCUGGUCUGAGAGGAUGAUCAGCCACACUGGGACUGGGACACGGCCCAGACUCCUACGGGAAGCAGCAGUGGGGAAUAUUGGACAAUGGGCGCAAGCCUGAUCCAGCAAUGCCGCGUGAGUGAUGAAGGCCUUAGGGUUGUAAAGCUCUUUUACCCGGGAUGAUAAUGACAGUACCGGGAGAAUAAGCUCCGGCUAACUCCGUG